rnacentral:rRNA from 1 species
ACACGGCCCAGACUCCUACGGGAGGCAGCAGUGGGGAAUAUUGGACAAUGGGGGCAACCCUGAUCCAGCAAUGCCGCGUGUGUGAAGAAGGCCUUCGGGUUGUAAAGCACUUUUAUCCGGAACGAAACGCGCUUGGUGAAUAGCCAGGUGAACUGACGGUACCGGAGGAAUAAGCACCGGCUAACUUCGUGCCAGCAGCCGCGGUAAUACGAAGGGUGCAAGCGUUACUCGGAAUUACUGGGCGUAAAGCGUGCGUAGGUGGUUUGUUAAGUCUGCUGUGAAAGCCCCGGGCUCAACCUGGGAAUGGCAGUGGAUACUGGCAAGCUAGAGUGCGAUAGAGGGGUGUGGAAUUCCCGGUGUAGCGGUGAAAUGCGUANAGAUCGGGAGGAACACCAGUGGCGAAAGCGGCACCCUGGAUCAGCACUGACACUCANGCACGAAAGCGUGGGGAGCAAACAGGAUUAGAUACCCUGGUAGUCCACGCCCUAAACGAUGCGAACUGGACGUUGGGAGCAAUUUGGCUCUCAGUGUC